AUUGAACGCUGGCGGCAUGCUUUACACAUGCAAGUCGAACGGCAGCGCGGGGCAACCUGGCGGCGAGUGGCGAACGGGUGAGUAAUACAUCGGAACGUACCCAGAAGUGGGGGAUAACGUAGCGAAAGUUACGCUAAUACCGCAUACGUUCUACGGAAGAAAGUGGGGGACCUUCGGGCCUCAUGCUCUUGGAGCGGCCGAUGUCUGAUUAGCUAGUUGGUGAGGUAAAGGCUCACCAAGGCGACGAUCAGUAGCUGGUCUGAGAGGACGACCAGCCACACUGGGACUGAGACACGGCCCAGACUCCUACGGGAGGCAGCAGUGGGGAAUGUUGGACAAUGGGCGCAAGCCUGAUCCAGCAAUGCCGCGUGAGUGAAGAAGGCCUUCGGGUUGUAAAGCUCUUUUGUCAGGGAAGAAACGGCUGGGGUUAAUACCUUCGGCUAAUGACGGUACCUGAAGAAUAAGCACCGGCUAACUACGUGCCAGCAGCCGCGGUAACAC
rnacentral:rRNA from 1 species